rnacentral:lncRNA from 1 species
GAGUCUUGGCCUUCUUCUACAGCUUUCUUCCCACGAAAGACAGUCUUCAAAUUGUUCACAAGGAUAUUUAUAUAUCGGUCAAAAGAUGUCUUUUUAAUGCAACUUUCAGAAUGAUCGAAGCUAACUUCGAAUGCUUCUAGGGCAAAAUAUUUCAAACGGUGGUCAAUUACGUCUACCACUUUAUUCAUUGCCCGCAUAUCACCCGAAUCUCCUCCAUUGGAGACAUACUCCUCCCAUAAUCUCAACAUAGUCCACAAAUUUUCCUCUGCACCCUUGCUAUCUUCCCAC